rnacentral:misc_RNA from 1 species
GAUGAAGAACGUAGCGAAAUGCGAUACUUGGUGUGAAUUGCAGAAUCCCGUGAACCAUCGAGUCUUUGAACGCAAGUUGCGCCCGAAGCCAUUAGGCCGAGGGCACGCCUGCCUGGGCGUCACACGUCAUUGCCCCCCCCAUCUACUCCUUCGGGAUUGCGGGGGGCGGAUGAUGGCCUCCCGUGUGCCUCGCCGCGCGGUUGGCAUAAAUGCCAAGUCCUCGGCGACGCACGCCACGACAAUCGGUGGUUGCGAAACCUCGGUUGCCCGUCGUGUGCGGUCGUCGCGCAUCGAGGGCUCGAAAAAAUUGCCGGGUUCCGGCUCGGCUUUCAACGCGACCCCAGGUCAGGCGGGGUUACCCGCUGAAUUUAAGCAUAUCAAUAAGCGGAGA